UUUGUAUGUUGUUGCUUAUAUCCCAUGAU
rnacentral:piRNA from 1 species